CCUACGGGAGGCAGCAGUGGGGAAUAUUGGGCAAUGGGCGCAAGCCUGACCCAGCAACGCCGCGUGAAGGAAGAAGGCUCUCGGGUUGUAAACUUCUUUUUUCAGGGACGAAGCAAGUGACGGUACCUGAGGAAUAAGCCACGGCUAACUACGUGCCAGCAGCCGCGGUAAUACGUAGGUGGCAAGCGUUAUCCGGAUUUACUGGGUGUAAAGGGCGUGUAGGCGGGACUGCAAGUCAGAGGGGAAAACCACGGGCGCAACCUGUGGCCUGCAUUUGAAACUGUAGUUCUUGAGUACUGGAGAGGCAGACGGAAUGCGUGGUGUAGCGGUGAAAUGCGUAGAUAUUAGGAGGAACACCAGUGGCGAAGGCGGUCUGCUGGACAGCAACUGACGCUGAGGCGCGAAAGCGUGGGGAGCAAACAGGAUUAGAUACCCGGGUAGUC
rnacentral:rRNA from 1 species